CCUACGGGAGGCAGCAGUGGGGAAUAUUGGACAAUGGGCGAAAGCCUGAUCCAGCAAUGCCGCGUGAGUGAUGAAGGCCUUAGGGUUGUAAAGCUCUUUUACCAGGGAUGAUAAUGACAGUACCUGGAGAAUAAGCUCCGGCUAACUCCGUGCCAGCAGCCGCGGUAAUACGGAGGGAGCUAGCGUUGUUCGGAAUUACUGGGCGUAAAGCGUGCGUAGGCGGUGAUUCAAGUCAGAGGUGAAAGCCUGGAGCUCAACUCCAGAACGGCCUUUGAAACUAGAUCGCUAGAAUUAUGGAGAGGUAAGUGGAAUUCCGAGUGUAGAGGUGAAAUUCGUAGAUAUUCGGAAGAACACCAGUGGCGAAGGCGACUUACUGGACAUAUAUUGACGCUGAGGUACGAAAGCGUGGGGAGCAAACAGGAUUAGAUACCCUGGUAGUCCACGCCGUAAACGAUGAUAACUAGCUGUUCGGGCUCUCAGAGCUUGAGUGGCGCAGCUACGCAUAAGUUAUCCGCCGUCGGGUAGGUACGGUCGCGAAGAAGUUAAAACUAACGAAAGAAGUUAGACGGCGUGAGACGUAGCCGACGGACGACGACGAGGGAGGUUAGG
rnacentral:rRNA from 1 species